rnacentral:lncRNA from 1 species
AAGAGUGUUACUAUAUCCUCUUAUAUUGUUUCUUAAAGGACUCAUCAAUGUGAUCAUAAGCAAUAACUUUGGCUUUAUAAGUCAUACACCUAGAUAUACCAAUGUUCCACUUUCUUUGAACUUUUUCACGAAUAUCUACAUCCUUCACUUUAGGAUUUUCUCCAACUUCUUGCUCAAACACUUGGCAUCAAGUAACCUCAAAUUGAACUCCCUGUUGCAGAUAUGCUUGUCAACAAUAGUUCUUAGCUUCCAUGUUUUCACAACCUCCAUAUAAGCACAAUAUAUGGUCCAGGGGGAUUUUCCUUUUGCACCCACGCACUUCAGCCUCAAUCUUGUUUUAUCAUUUUUAUUCCUCCCAUUUUUCAAAGCAUACCCUUUUAUAGCUUCUAAAAUAUCUUGCUUUUCAGCAAAAUAUGUCCUAACUUCCUAUGUAAAGUCUACCAUACUUUUCAGCAUACAAAAUGUAGCAAACCUCCUACAACCCUCAUUCUCAUUAACCUCUUCAUCGUUAUGUGUUACACUUACUAAUUCCUUAUAUUGCCACUCAUCAUCUGACAAACCUCUCUCAUCAUCAUCAAAGUUGUUGUUCUAAGUGUCACUAGAACAUUGUCCACUAAAUUUAUGUGACAAACUUUCUACUUAUACUUGUACAUUACCAGACCAUUCUGCAUCUGUAUCACCAUCUAUAUCUCAUUCAAAACUCACAUCAACUAGCUCCUCCAAGCACUGACUAUUUCCAUGUAGACUACCAUGGUCACUAGAUGAACUCCAACUACAAAAGAUGAACUUCCUCCUCAACAACUCUUUCACACUCAUGCACCUCUUGCUUUACGUCACCAUAAAAAAUGAACUGGAUUUUCUGGCAUACCAUCACCUUCUUCACCCUUAAGCACAUGUUCUUGUACAUCAUCAUCACCUUCAACUUUAACACGACGAUCUUCUUCACCCUUAUGCAGCUCUUGUUGUACGUCACCAUGGCCUUCACAUUCACCACCAACUUUGCCUAUACACCUACUGGACUCAUGCAACACAAGUCCAACUUGUUCUUCAUCAUCAUUAAUAUAUUCAAGCAUGUGUAUUAGUUAGGGCUCAGAAACAACAUGUACAACGUAUAAAUGAACAUGACCAUUAAGCCUAGCUGAGUUAGCCAUAUGCAUGACACCAAUGUCAUCAAUCAAUAGCUCCAACCUAUCUUCCAACACUAAACCCCCUCCUAAAGAGUACCACAAAUGCUUAAAACCUACAUAUCCUAAACCUUUCACUACACUAACAACCACAAAAUAACUUCACAUAUUAGGGUCAAAGGAAAAAGUUGUUGUCUCCCCUUCAUACUUCAGGGUACCAUCAUUAACGAACUUCCCUCCAUGGUGGAAAACACACUCAAUAGCCUUGUCUAUUAUGCACAACACAAUAUAAACAUAUCUACACCCAUUAUGUAAACAUAUGACGACAAAAAAAUGUAUUAAAACAAUAACAAAAGCGUACUCAAACACACACUAUGAAAUAACUAUAAACAUACAUGGGGGACCACCAUAUCACAAUCACCAACGCAAAGUAAAGCAUUGAAACCAUGGGGGACCACCACCCAAUAUUAUGGUUUCCCAACCAUAAAAAACCACAAAAUAAAGCACAAUCAUUGUUUUGCUUUAGAUUCACGUCCACUGACCACGUGCUUUAGCCUCGCACUUCCAACGACACAAGAUCUCACACCUCACCUCGUGCUUCAGCCCUAAUUUCUUCCAAACGUCGCGCUCAAUUUCAAACUCCUAUAAACC